rnacentral:rRNA from 1 species
AUUGAACGCUGGCGGAAUGCUUUACACAUGCAAGUCGAACGGUAGAGGGGGCAACCCCUCGAGAGUGGCGAACGGGUGAGUAAUAUAUCGGAACGUGCUCAGUCGUGGGGGAUAACGUAGCGAAAGUUACGCUAAUAACGCAUACGAUCUAAGGAUGAAAGCGGGGGAUCGCAAGACCUCGCGCGAUUGGAGCGGCCGAUAUCAGAUUAGGUAGUGGGUGGGGUAAAGGCUCACCAAGCCAACGAUCUGUAGCUGGUCUGAGAGGACGACCAGCCACACUGGAACUGAGACACGGUCCAGACUCCUACGGGAGGCAGCAGUGGGGAAUUUUGGACAAUGGACGCAAGUCUGAUCCAGCUAUUCCGCGUGCAGGAUGAAGGCCCUCGGGUUGUAAACUGCUUUUGUACGGAACGAAAAGGUCUCUCUUAAUACGGGGGGCUCAUGACGGUACCGUAAGAAUAAGCACCGGCUAACUACGUGCCAGCCGCCGCGGUAA